UACGUAGGGUGCGAGCGUUGCUCGGAAUCACUGGGCGUAAAGCGCACGUAGGCGGCUUUCUAAGUCAGGGGUGAAAUCCUGGAGCUCAACUCCAGAACUGCCUUUGAUACUGGAGAGCUCGAGUCCGGAAGAGGUGAGUGGAACUGCGAGUGUAGAGGUGAAAUUCGUAGAUAUUCGCAAGAACACCAGUGGCGAAGGCGGCUCACUGGCCCGAUACUGACGCUGAGGCACGAAAGCGUGGGGAGCAAACAGG
rnacentral:rRNA from 1 species